UCUGCUCAUUCUGCUUGGGCUCACCAGCCGAAGUCUUAAUAUCUGACUGCUCAGUCCAGCCACCUGAGGGGAACUGAAGAUUUGCCAUUUUGAAGGCCACAAAAUCAAGCAUGAGUUUGUAGUGAAGCUCCAGUUUUCAGUCUGCUGAACCUCAGAAUUUCUAAAAGAUAAUUUGCUGGGAAAAGAAAAAUAAAUAAAAAUGAAUGGAGCUCAAGACAGUCAAGGAAGAACAUGGAAUACUGUCUGACACUGAAAGUCCACCACCUCAGAAAAGGAGAGUGAGCCAGAGACGGUAAGAGAGAAGGUUGAAGGGUGAAGACCAAGAAGGACAUCAGGAUGCCGAAUCCAAGGGCCAGUUACACCUGAAAAAAGGAAGAGCGGAUGAAAGACGUGAAGGCGCUCAGAACCCUUCUCCCAUGUCUGACUUGAUCCCCAGUGGUCUACAGGAAGAUGGAGCUGUUGAAGAGGCCACUGGAGAAAGUCUGCUGCAGGAUUCUGUGAAUCCAUCACAAGAUUUGAGAUUAAGUAAAACAAUGAGCAUGGAGGAAAUAAGAGGACUAUUACAAGCUCAUAGUAAAAGGGUGAUUACUCGGGGAUGCAGACGAUUAG